UGGAGCAUUGCCUCUUUACUUAACUUUUUUUAUUUAGCAGCAUCUAUCAAAAUUUGGAUAGUUUGUAUUUUUUAUUUAACAGGAUCUAUUAAAAUAUAGAUAAGGCAGGGAAUUAGUGGACUUCGAGAGAGUGUUGUGGUAAAUUAUGCAGACAAUGAUAUGUUAAUGUUUGCAUCUCAUCUUUAUGUAUUAAUUAAUCAUAAUUGCUAUAACUCAGAAAAUCUAUUUGUGUGGUUACUGAGAUUCAACACCAACUCAAAGGCACAAAAUCAAAAGACCAAUUACAGUACUAUUGUAAUUCCAAUAAUUAUAAUUAUCAUAAUUACUAUAAAAACAUGGCAAUUGAUUACGGAGUUUGUAACACAAAUAAUAUCUUCAGUGUGUAAAUGGAAAAUGAUUGGAAAAACUCUAAAGGUGGCAAAAAAAGCCAGAGGCACUAAAGUUGCAAAAGGAAAAAUCAGAGGUCAGCUGGCAAGUUCUAACGUGAUAGCUCAAAGCUACCAAAAUAACUUAACAGAAACACACAGGAACUCCAAAUUGUUAAACAGCAGAGAUGGAUUGAAGCUUACUGUCGCAAACCUGGAACCUUAGGCAUGCACUGAUUUCCAGAACAAGCCUGCGGAGAAGUGAGGGUGGAUGGGGUCUUCAAACUAAUGACCUACAAUCAAUAAAUACACUGAAUCUUAAAAGAAGACUAUUUCAUCAAGACAGCCAUCCAAAACAUAAAAAGCUGGCAUCGCUUGUCUAAAAUGAUUAAGCUGGAAGUUGGAAAAAAAAAUAACCCGAAGGCACUGAUAAAUCACUACCAUGAUGUCAUCAAGAAAACUUCAUAGACACAUUCACGGAGACACAAGGAAUCAAUAACUUUUCUCGGAUCCUCAUUUAGUAAAAUCUACUAUUCUGUUUCCCAUCUUUAAUUUCUCUUCUCUGCACUCCAAACACUAUAAUUUGGAAUUAUUCAGGCAACUACAUACAGUAACUGAAUGUUUCAAAUAUCUUCCAUACUCUAACUCCUUAAUAUAUUUACCCUUACUACAUUGCUAUUCUUCUACAGAACUGUUGGAAUCAUUAAUGGGUAAGCAUUACUUCCAUUUAAGUUUUUGAAAGAAAACAGACAGCCAAGGGUAGAAAAUUCUUUCAUGUCAAGAUCAAAAAUUAGAAAGUGGAAAAAUAAUUUUGAACUAGCUAAGAUAUUAGAUCAAUUCACCAUGGCAAUUUGGAUAGACUUAUUUUUCAAUUCAAUAUAUAGUGAUAAUAUUUUACUACUACCAAUAAAUGACUUAUUAUAUUUAAGCAAAAUUAUCAUUUCACAGCAUUUUCCAACUUCCCUUGUCAAAAAAGCUUAGUCCUGUAAUAUUUUUAACCCAAGUUCAAUCUUGUUUCUCUCCUUAUUUUUGCACAUAUUCUGCCUUCAUCAGUUUACAAAUAACAUUCUCAAAAGAACUGCUGUUCCACUGUAGGAACUAAAUGUUCCUACACAGCUUGAGAAAACAUUUUGAAAAAGUUAAAAAAAUUUUUUUUACUUUAUCAGAGGUAAAAAAAUACCAAGCUGAUUAUUUCAAUUAACUAACAAACAAACAUUUUUUAGUGAGAUAGAUAGAAUGAGCAAGUCUGAAAUGAGUUAAUCAGCCAGAUUAGUGGAUUUAUGAUCAGAUAAUAUUUUUUAGGCAAACUACUAGUAGUUUUAGUGAAGCUACUCUCAUGUGAAAAGAAAAAUUGGAAUCAGAAGGACAUUUUGCCAUUGAUUCACAUACUUACAACUUAAUUUAAUUUAGACAAGAAAUGUUAUGGGUCUGAAUUUGCAAAAAAAAAUAAAAAUUAAAUUGUAUUGUAUGCUCAUGGUGAACAUAAUAUUGCUAUAGUUUACACAAUAUUGUUAAAACUUAAUUUGGAAAACAAAUACAUGAAACAGUGUACAGUUCAGCGGGCAAGGAACUUUGGAUACAAUAUAAUGCUUGAGCAAAGGAAAAAUAUGUAGUUGAACCAUUUAAAAUUAACAUUGAAUUACACCUUGAAAGGAUUUUUUUAAUACAAUGAUAAAUCACUGGUAUUUAACACCUAGUAAGUUGUCAAAGAUAUAUAAAGAUAUUUCAAGUGUAUGAUGGAAAUUUAAUUUUAAAGAAGAUAGUUUUUCUAAUUUUUGGUGGACUUGUGAUAAAACAAAGAAAUACUGGGCCCAGAUUCAUGUUAUAAUUCAGAAUAUUUGUGAAACCAAUGUAAAAUUGAAAGCUAAAGUUUUUCUCUUAGGAUUAUUGGACCAGAAAUUGGGGGGAAAAGAUCUUUGUUGAAAAAAAGAACUUUGUUAUUGUUUAUGCUGACUUCAGCAAGAAUUCUAAAUGUACAGUAAUGGAAAGAUACAUCAAUCCCCACAACGUAAAGGAUGGAAAAGCUAGCAGAGAUGGCAAAAUUGAUUGUUUUAAUUAGCGAAAAGAAUAUAUCCAAUUCUGUCUCUACUUGGAAACUGCCUCUGGAUUUUGUUGCUUGAGACAGAGAGAAAUGAGCCCUUGAUUGUGAGUUUGUUCUGAUUAAUCUAUUUUGUUGAUGGCUAAUACUUGUUUGGCUAAAGUAAAAAGUUGAGGCUGUGAUUCUAUUUUAUACUUUACUGUGCUGAAAAAAAGUUGGAAGUCAAUGCUUUUUUUUUUCGUUCCCCCUUUACAACUCGCUUUAUCCUUUCUUUCCCUUUCCCAUUAUCUUUAUUUUCAUUGUAUUUUCUAUCAUGAUAGUCAAUAAAAU